rnacentral:rRNA from 1 species
GUGCUCCCCCGCCAAUUCCUUUAAGUUUCAACCUUGCGGUCGUACUUCCCAAGUGGCCCGCUUCACGGCUUCCCUACGGCACCACGGCAGUUCACGACUGCCGUGACACCUAGCGGGCAUCGUUUACGGCUAGGACUACCCGGGUAUCUAAUCCGGUUCGUGCCCCUAGCUUUCGUCCCUCACCGUCGGACCUGUUCUGGUAGGACGCCUUCGCCACCGGUGGUCCCCAGAGGAUUACAGGAUUUCACUCCUACCCCCUGAGUACCUCCUACCUCUCCCAGUCCCAAGCAAUGUAGUAUCCCGCAGACGCCCAACGGUUAAGCCGCUGGAUUUCCCACAAGACUUGCAAAGCCGGCUACGGACCCUUUAGACUCAAUAAUAUCGGCCACCACUCGAGCCGCCGGUAUUACCGCGGCGGCUGGCACCGGUCUUGCCCGGCCCUUGCUAACAGCCGUUUUUUAGACAGCUGGACAGACACCUAAUGUAGAUGCCACUCGAUGUUCCCCUAUCGCAGUUGCCUGCAUUGUAGAGUUUUCGCGCCUGCUGCGCCCCGUAGGGCCUGGAUUCGUGUCUCAGAAUCCAUCUCCGGGCUCUUGCUCCCACAACCCGUACUGAUAAUCGGCACGCCGGUACUUUACACCGGCGUCAACCUAAUCAGCCGCAGACCCAUCCAAAGGCGCCAGAGCUUUCAAUCAAAAAACCCUUCCAGUACUCUUGACCUAUCCGGUAUUAUUCCCAGUUUCCCGGAGUUAUCCCAGACCUUUGGGUAGGUUGUCCACGUGUUACUGAGCCGU